GGCGGCUAGGGUUCCGGCUCCUCAGGGAGCCGGGCAAUAGGAGAUAAUAUUCUUCUUAUUGCUUGCCUUCAAAAAGAGUCUUACAACCUAUAUUUAUAUCCUAGAUAACUUGUAGAAGAAUCAACCUAAGAUAACUUGCCUAAUCUGAAAAUAAAAACUAAGAUAACUUGCGGGCCUAAGCCGGCCGGCCAUAACAACUCAACUUUGUACUAGCUUCAGUACAAAAUUGAGUCACUUAUUUUGGGACGGAGGGAGUACCUUGCAAGUGUCGUGAUGUUACAUAGAUAUUUUUGUAUCUAUAUGAAUGUCAGACCCUGUGUGAUUGAUCUUAUUUUAUUCCUAUGUGAGAACUAGCUCUCCUUUAGUAAUUUAGUACUUUUAUACUAAACUGAACUGGGAAUAGUUUGAUUGUGCUCUAUAGGACAGUGUGAUUUCUUCUCAUAGAAUGUUGUCAUCUAUAUCUUGUUGAAUGUACAUAACUAUAUUUUGCAUGAUGAUAUGUUUUUGCUGUGCCAGUCAUAUAAGUUAUUUAUUUUCUACAGGUUGUUACAUCUCCAAAGAGGAUUCCAGCAGCAAAACUUCAUGGUCAGCUUGAAUGGAAGUUGUACAAAAAAAAUGCCUGGGCGUGCAAGUUUUAUGUGAAAAUGAUGUGCCGGCGGUUGGAAGAAUGGAAAAUCACUUGGCUGUCGGAUUUCAAGCACAUAGGGCAUUGCUUAUGUGGCGUACAGUUCAUAAAAACUUCCUGAAUUGAGUGUUUAUUUUCAGUUCUAUGCUUUGUUAGACUACUAGAGCUAGAGAUGCUAAAAUCCUAGAUGAUGCUAGAUGGUGUAAUGGCAUUAGUGCUGAAUUAUAUUACAAAAUGUACAAAUUGGAUAAGUAUAACAAAUCUCAAAUCUAUUAGAUUUGUAUGUUUUUAUUCAUAAUCAUCAGUCUACAAUCACCACUCUGCUCUGGCUUUCACUUUGCAGCCCUCGCUCAGGUCUUACCCUGCCUCGCCUAGCUGCCACUCUCUUCUAGAGUGAUUGUGCCCCACCAUGCGCAAGGUAUUCACCAAGAACCAGAAGGUGCUCUUUGGACACCAUGGGAUGCUAAGGGCUGCAAGAAAUAAAAUAGUAUGUUGCAUUUUGCCUACAGGUAAGGAAACCUGUACCUUAUUUCUGCAAAGAUGUGCUCUAUUUUUUUUAUUCCAUGAGUAUUUGCAUUCCCUAUAGAAGCUGACUGGUUAAGAUAAAAGUUGAAGAAUUCAUACGAUAGUCGAUUGGAAACAUAUAUCUAGUAGUUCAUUUUUUCAUGCGCACAAUGGGAUAAAUUGAUGUAACACAAGACUUUACAACUUAGUGCUGUUGUUAUUAGAAUCAGGAGACUUGCUUUGUUACCGUACUUAGAGUUGCCGAUUGCUUACUAUAGUAAUAGCCAGGAAGGUUUGUAGUCAACUUAUAUGCAGUUGUAAUUAGUCGACUUAUGCUCCUUAAAUUGUUGUUCUUUGGUGACCAGUGAAUGGGCAAUUGACUCUUGCGUAUAUGGCUGAUCUAAUUGUUGGGAAAAUCUUCAGCACAUUGUAAUAUGAAAGGUUUUAUCCUGCAAAAAAAAGCAUGAAAGAUUUUGAUUUUUUUCUUAGGACUUCUUCAUACACUUUUUACUAUUGUAUUCACUAUAGUUUUCCUGGAUUGAACUGAUUUUCCGCUUGCAUUGUAGAUAUCAAGUCUUAGAGAAGGAAGUUUUGUAUGGCAGUCGACUCGCUUCUUCUCCGAUUCAGAUUCACAGUUAAAUAUCCCAUUCUUCUUUUUUCAGCCCUUGACAUUUUCUCCUACUUGCUAAUGCAGGAUGGAACACUUCCUGUUACAUGUAGUCUUCAGAACCUGUGCUGAAAAGGCGCUUCUUUGUUUGGAAAGUGUCUGAUUUUGCAAAACUUUUGGCUGUAUCGAAUAAUUUUCAAGUUGCUUCAGUGACAUCUGUUCCUGCUAAGACGUUUUAAAUGUGAACCUAAAUACUUGUUACCAUAAGUGACCAAACUUGUGGUGGUGUGCAAUGUUCACCUAACUUAAAACAGCUUGCGCCCUGUC